GNAGCGUANAUGCAAGUCGAGCGGUAACAGAAAGUAGCUUGCUACUUUGCUGACGAGCGGCGGACGGGUGAGUAAUGCUUGGGAACAUGCCUUGAGGUGGGGGACAACAGUUGGAAACGACUGCUAAUACCGCAUAAUGUCUACGGACCAAAGGGGGCUUCGGCUCUCGCCUUUAGAUUGGCCCAAGUGGGAUUAGCUAGUUGGUGAGGUAAUGGCUCACCAAGGCGACGAUCCCUAGCUGGUUUGAGAGGAUGAUCAGCCACACUGGGACUGAGACACGGCCCAGACUCCUACGGGAGGCAGCANUGGGGAAUAUUGCACAAUGGGCGCAAGCCUGAUGCAGCCAUGCCGCGUGUGUGAAGAAGGCCUUCNGGUUGUAAAGCACUUUCAGUCANGAGGAAAGGUUAANNGUUAAUACCCGNUAGCUGUGACGUUACUGACAGAAGAAGCACCGGCUAACUCCGUGCCAGCANCCNCGGUAAUACGGAGGGUGC
rnacentral:rRNA from 1 species